rnacentral:rRNA from 1 species
UACAGAGGUCCCGAGCGUUGUUCGGAUUCACUGGGCGUAAAGGGUGCGUAGGCGGUUCUGAAAGUCUGAUGUGAAAUCUCCAGGCCCAACCUGGAAACUGCAUUAGAAACUACAGGGCUAGAGGCUUGGAGGGGGAACUGGAAUUCUCGGUGUAGCAGUGAAAUGCGUAGAUAUCGGAAGGAACACCAGUGGCGAAAGCGGCUUCCUGGUCCAGCACCGACGUCAGGCACGAAAGCGUGGGGAGCAAACAGG